CCAAUUUUGACUAGUUUUAUUAUUAACAAAUAAAAAAGAAAAAGUUAUCAUUUUCUCUUCUCCUCCACUGAAAUAUGCAGCAAAGAAAGGGGUUUUGAAGCUUUGAAAUAUCAGCCACUUACAUCCCUUGCUAGGUUGUCAGGUUAGCUCGAGUUGGAGGCCGUCAGAGAUAUUAUCACACUGUCGAGUUAAUGCUAUCGGCAUAAGUAAAUCCUAGUGUUUCGAGUCUAUGGCAUGUAUAGGGUUUUAACGUUGAGUAUGUGAUAUUAUGAUUUAGCCAAAGGUGUUGGCUUGUAUUGAUAAAGUGUUGUAGCCAUGUGGGUUGGCCUAUGUUGGCUAAUGAUGUUGUGGGCCUAAAUGUUUAUUCAUAUAUAUGUAUGAUACUAUCUUUUGUGA